GCAAGUCGAACGGGAUCAUUCAGGAGUUUACUUCAAUGUGAGAGUGGCGGACGAGCGAGUAACACGUAAGUAUCUGCCCCGUACUCAGGGAUAACCGGCCGAAAGGUCGGCUAAUACCGGAUAGUCUCGAAAGAGUAAAGCUUUCGCGGUACGGGAGGAGCUUGCGGCUUAUCAGUUAGUUGGUGGGGUAAUGGCCUACCAAGACUAUGACGAGUAACUGGUGUGAGAGCAUGACC
rnacentral:rRNA from 1 species